rnacentral:lncRNA from 1 species
GGAGCGGACCGCGCGUAUCAGAGCGUAUCUAAAGCGAGAUCCACCGCGAGAACAGGUUUCGGUACGGUCCGAACAAAUCGGUCUAAGGACGGCUGCGAUGCGUCGAUCACAACGUUGUAAUCGUAUCUUUUAUUGCUUUCCCUUCUCCCUCUCGGCAUUCUCGACGCCUCCUCUUGCCUCUUGUUUAGUUCGAGUUUCGUUUCUAAACCCUACUUUUCUCAUCGAUUCAGUCCCUAUAGAAGCAAUCGACUUUUUGGGGUUUGCUUCAAAUCUUGGACCUUUUUUUUUUUGGUUUGAAGAACUUGGUGGUUUUUUUCCUAUAUUAUUAGUUUAUAUUCGCUGAUUUCUUGUUUUGAGAUUAAAUCUUUGAUUUCUUUGGGUGAUGAUAAGCCCUAGAAUCUCUUUUUAUGUAUUCUUUAUGUGUUCUGAUUUCUUGUUUUGAGUCUAUGAUUUCCGUUAUGUACUCAAAGUAAGAAUGUGUGACGACAAAUAUUUAUAUCCUUUUGUUUCUAUAGGCUCGGGUUUGUCUCACAUUCUCUUUCUCCUUCAUGAUCAUGCUCCCCUUUUUAUCGCUUAAGAGUUGCUUGGGCCUUUGAUUGGAUUAUGUUAAUUUAAUGGAAUUUAAGUACGUGAUAUUGUAGAAUUCAAAGUUCUAAGAAAUCACAAUCUGUAUACUUAGUAUGCGCAGUCGUAUGAACAAUAAACAGACGAACAAGCAAUCUGAAUAUUCCUUAUAUUCCUAAUAGGUGUUUAAAUUUUUAUUGGAUAAACACACUUAGGAGAUCAGUGCGUAUUCCUUGUAAUGCAUUUCUUCUUCUGCUCACUUGUAGUGGGGACUUUGUGAUAACAUUGAAAAGGCAACUUUGUGAUAAGUUAGAUAUUUAUUGCAGGGAGUUCUUGAAUUAUAAUGAGCAUGCAAUUAAAUUUGUAGGCCAUGACAUAAGGGAUCGUCUGUAGAAAUAUAAGUAGUAGGCUCAAUAGAAAUGUGGAUCUAAUACUUAAUUCACAAGUUGAGGUAAUCUCGAUUGAUAAAAGUUUGGUCAAAUAUGAGCGUUUUAAUGACUCUGUAGAGUGGAUUUAGUUUCUAUCUGGGUGUCAUUUAUUAAAUAUUAUCUUCAAGGAAGGAAAGAAGGAUAAUGGUUCCAUCAAGUGUAAAUUUGUCUUAAAACAUUGGGAAAUACAUAUGGAUGUGCCUGAGGGAGAAGGACAUCAAUUAUGUCAAAGGUAAAACCUGAAGGAGGAAAUCUAGUACCAUGAGCUAUUAAUGGAAGGAAAGCACUAUGGAAUCAAUCGGGGGAAGAUAGGGAAAAUGCAGUUUUUUUUUUUUUU